AAUCAAAAAAGUUAAUUGACUAAUUUUACGACCAAAUCCACUUUCAUAUAGAAAAUACCUCCUAAAAUCCAUAUAAAUAAAAUUAUUGUAACCCAUUUCUACUUAUAUAUUAGCUUCACCUUGACCUGACAUGCUUAGUUUUGAUAAUUAAGAAAAUUUAUUCUAAAAAAAUAUUCUUAUGACGGAGAUAUAAAAACUGAUAACAAAUAUAAGUUUAUAAAAACGUGGACUAUCGAUUAUAGAACAGGUUCCUCUGGAAAGACUAAAAUACCGCCAAAUUCUUUGGGUUUCAAGAACAUAACUAAUACUACCCAAGCAAAAAAU
rnacentral:rRNA from 1 species